rnacentral:lncRNA from 1 species
UGGACUCUACCUUGUGUCGAUAGCGUUCCACAUGGAUGCUGUUCCCCAUGUUGACUCCAAUGCUUCCCACAGUUGUGUCAAGUUGGCUGGAUGCCCAUUGGGUGGUGGACCAUUCUUGAUACACAAAGGGACUGUCGAGGGUGAAAAACCCAGCAGCGUUGCAGUUCUUGACACAAACUGGUGCGCCUGGCACCUACUACCAUACCCCCUGUUCAAAGGCACUUAAAUAUUUUGUCUUGCCAAUUCACCCUCUGAAUGGCACACACACACAAUCCACGUCUCGGUUGUGUCAAUGAUUAAAAAUCCUUCUUUAAUUAACCUUCAUCUACCCUGAUUGAAGUGGAUUUACCAGGUGACAUCAAUAAGGGAUCAUAGCUUUCACCUGGGUUCACCUGGUCAGUCUGUGUCAUGGAAAGAGCAGCUCAGUGUAAUAUAACAAUACUAUUAAUACUGCAGGUGUUCUUAAUGUUUUGUCCAAUCAGUGUAAUAUUACAAUACUAUUAUUACUGCAGGUGUUCUUAAUGCUUUGUCCAUUCAGUGUAAUAUUACAAUACUAUUAUUACUGCAGGUGUUCUUAAUGCUUUGUCCAUUCAGUGUAAUAUUACAAUACUAU